rnacentral:rRNA from 1 species
CAUCUAAGUACCCGGAGGAAGAGAAAGCAAAUGCGAUUCCCUGAGUAGCGGCGAGCGAAACGGGAACAGCCCAAACCAAGAGGCUUGCCUCUUGGGGUUGUAGGACACUCUAUACGGAGUUACAAAGGAACGAUAUAAGCGAAGAGGUCUGGAAAGGCCCGCCAAAGAAGGUAACAGCCCUGUAACUGAAAUGUUGUUCUCUCCAGAGUGGAUCCUGAGUACGGCGGAACACGUGAAAUUCCGUCGGAAUCCGGGAGGACCAUCUCCCAAGGCUAAAUACUCCCUAGUGACCGAUAGUGAACCAGUACCGUGAGGGAAAGGUGAAAAGCACCCCGGAAGGGGAGUGAAAUAGAUCCUGAAACCGUGUGCCUACAAGUAGUCAGAGCCCGUUAAAGGGUGAUGGCGUGCCUUUUGUAGAAUGAACCGGCGAGUUACGAUCCCGUGCAAGGUUAAGCAGAAGAUGCGGAGCCGCAGCGAAAGCGAGUCUGAAUAGGGCGCAUGAGUACGUGGUCGUAGACCCGAAACCAGGUGAUCUACCCAUGUCCAGGGUGAAGUUCAGGUAACACUGAAUGGAGGCCCGAACCCACGCACGUUGAAAAGUGCGGGGAUGAGGUGUGGGUAGGGGUGAAAUGCCAAUCGAACCUGGAGAUAGCUGGUUCUCUCCGAAAUAGCUUUAGGGCUAGCCUCAAGGUAAGAGUCUCGGAGGUAGAGCACUGAUUGGACUAGGGGCCCCUACCGGGUUACCGAAUUCAGUCAAACUCCGAAUGCCGAUGACUUAUCCUUGGGAGUCAGACUGCGAGUGAUAAGAUCCGUAGUCGAAAGGGAAACAGCCCAGACCGCCAGCUAAGGUCCCAAAGUAUACGUUAAGUGGAAAAGGAUGUGGAGUUGCUUAGACAACCAGGAUGUUGGCUUAGAAGCAGCCACCAUUUAAAGAGUGCGUAAUAGCUCACUGGUCGAGUGACUCUGCGCCGAAAAUGUACCGGGGCUAAACGUAUCACCG